rnacentral:rRNA from 1 species
UUGGGGUCCAUUUCGGUGGCGCGCACACAGGUGCUGGCAUGGCUGUCGUCAACUCGUGUCGUGAGAUGUUGGGUUAAGUCCCGCAACGAGCGCAACCCACGUCNUUAGUUGCCAUCAUUCAGUUGGGCACUCUAGGGAGACUGCCGGUGAUAAACCGCGAGGAAGGUGUGGAUGACGUCAAGUCCUCANGGCCCUUACGGGAUGGGCUACACACGUGCUACAAUGGCGGUGACAGUGGGACGCGAAGGAGCGAUCUGGAGCAAAUCCCCAAAAGCCGUCUCAGUUCGGAUUGCACUCUGCACCUUGGGUGCAAAAAGGCGG